rnacentral:lncRNA from 1 species
UAAAUUUAAGUUGAAUUGAUUAGGAUUAUAAAAUAUUACUUAAAGUUUAUUUAAGGUUCUACUAGACUUAAUAAGAUUGUUGCAUUUCUACUUAUCUUCCACAACUAGAUGCUCAAUGCAUUCUCAAACAAGAAUACAUGCAAUACAACAUCGGUUGGGUUGAUAAUUGGUCUACUAAGAGUAUGGUAGAUUGAAUGGAUUGUUUUAUGAGGGCAAGUAUUUGAGAAAAAUAUACUUAAGGCCAAGUUGAAGUGGUGGUUGAGAUCUCAAUAAGAUUUCAUGGAUACUUUAAAUCAGCAAUAGAUUGAUUUACAUACAUUUGUUGGUAGUAUUUGAACCUUAGCUUGAGUUGCAAAGUUACAUGAUUUCUUGAGUUGUGGAG